GCACUGAUUGCUGUCACACUGUUAGGCUGGCCCCAUAAUUCACUUAAAUGAAUGGUUUUGUAUUCUGUUUUACUUGAAGAUGGAAGAGAAGCCAACUUAAGCUUUCUAGGAAGAAAAUUUUCAGUGUUCCUUGACUGGUUGUUAUUGAAACCUUGCUAGAUGACUCUGCUUCCUGGGGGCCACUCACUGAAGACUAGAGAUAACUUCCAUCAUUCCAUCUUGGUGAACUGGAAGAUGCUGUGCCAUUGUCUGUCCCUCGCGAUUGUCUCGCCAGCAAGAACAACGCAGGACACUCAGAUCCUUCUGCAGUAAAGCUUUAAUGCAUCUUGAGAGAGAGAGCAUAAGCUUACGGAGCGGAGACCCCCGAGCCAAGAAUCCCGUCCCCUAAUAAAGGCUCAUAAAACUCUGAUCGGUGCGUGUAC
rnacentral:lncRNA from 1 species